rnacentral:rRNA from 1 species
GACGAACGCUGGCGGCGUGCUUAACACAUGCAAGUCGAACGGAAAGGCCCUGCUUGCAGGGUACUCGAGUGGCGAACGGGUGAGUAACACGUGGGUGAUCUGCCCUGCACUUCGGGAUAAGCCUGGGAAACUGGGUCUAAUACCGGAUAGGAGCCAUUUUUAGUGUGAUGGUUGGAAAGUUUUUUCGGUGUAGGAUGAGCUCGCGGCCUAUCAGCUUGUUGGUGGGGUAAUGGCCUACCAAGGCGGCGACGGGUAGCCGGCCUGAGAGGGUGGACGGCCACAUUGGGACUGAGAUACGGCCCAGACUCCUACGGGAGGCAGCAGUGGGGAAUAUUGCACAAUGGGCGCAAGCCUGACGCAGCGACGCCGCGUGGGGGAUGACGGCCUUCGGGUUGUAAACUCCUUUCGCUAGGGACGAAGCUUUUUGUGACGGUACCUAGAUAAGAAGCACCGGCUAACUACGU